rnacentral:pre_miRNA from 1 species
AAUAAGUACAGUCGUGGAUAUCCGUGUCCAAUGUUUGACCGUCCGUCUUAUUUGAAAAAUUUAUGAAAAAUUUAAAAAUAUUUAGUCGCACAUAAAGUACUAUUCAUGUUUUAUCAUCUAAUAGUAAUAAAAAUACUAAUCAUAAUUUUUUUCAAAUAAAACGAACGGUCAAACGUUAAACGUGAAUAGUGUAAAACAACACUUAUU